ensembl:misc_RNA Metazoa_SRP Metazoan signal recognition particle RNA
GCUGGGCAUAGUGGCGCAUGCCUGUAAUCCCAGCUACUUGGGAGGCUGAGGCAGGAGAAUCACUUGAGCCCAGGAGGUGGAGGCUGCAGUGAGCUGAGAUUGCAACACUGCACUCCAGCCUGGGUGACAGAGUGAGACUUUGUCUCAA